AGGACGAACGCUGGCGGCGCGCCUAACACAUGCAAGUCGAGCGAUAACCAGGGCUUGCCCUGGGGACAGCGGCGAACGGGUGCGUAACACGUGAGCAACCUGCCCCAAAGACCGGGACAACCCGAGGAAACUCGGACUAAUACCGGAUGCCCUCACCGGGCCGCAUGGUCUGGUGAGGAAAUGGAUUCCGCUUUGGGAUGGGCUCGCGGUCUAUCAGCUUGUUGGUGGGGUAACGGCCUACCAAGGCGACGACGGAUAGCUGGUCUGAGAGGACGAUCAGCCACACUGGGACUGAGACACGGCCCAGACUCCUACGGGAGGCAGCAGUGGGGAAUCUUGCGCAAUGGGGGAAACCCUGACGCAGCGACGCCGCGUGCGGGAUGAAGGCCUUCGGGUGUAACCGCUUUCAGCAGGGACGAAUUGACGGUACCUGCAGAAGAAGGCCGGCCAACUACGUGCCAGCAGCCGC
rnacentral:rRNA from 1 species